AAAACGACUCUCGGCAACGGAUAUCUCGGCUCUCGCAUCGAUGAAGAACGUAGCGAAAUGCGAUACUUGGUGUGAAUUGCAGAAUCCCGUGAACCAUCGAGUCUUUGAACGCAAGUUGCGCCCGAAGCCGUUAGGCAGAGGGCACGCCUGCCUGGGCGUCACGC
rnacentral:rRNA from 2 species